rnacentral:rRNA from 1 species
CCUACGGGAGGCUGCAGUGGGGAAUAUUGGACAAUGGGGGCAACCCUGAUCCAGCCAUGCCGCGUGUGUGAAGAAGGCCCUCGGGUUGUAAAGCACUUUCAGUGAGGAAGAACGCCUGGUGGUUAAUACCCAUCAGGAAAGACAUCACUCACAGAAGAAGCACCGGCUAACUCCGUGCCAGCAGCCGCGGUAAUACGGAGGGUGCGAGCGUUAAUCGGAAUUACUGGGCGUAAAGCGCGCGUAGGUGGCUUGAUAAGCCGGUUGUGAAAGCCCCGGGCUCAACCUGGGAACGGCAUCCGGAACUGUCAAGCUAGAGUGCAGGUGAGGAAGGUAGAAUUCCCGGUGUAGCGGUGAAAUGCGUAGAGAUCGGGAGGAAUACCAGUGGCGAAGGCGGCCUUCUGGACUGACACUGACACUGAGGUGCGAAAGCGUGGGUAGCAAACAGGAUUAGAUACCCUAGUAGUC